UACGAGGGGUGCAAACGUUAUUCGGAUUUACUGGGUGUAAAGGGUGUGUAGACGGUUUGUUAAGUUUGUUGUUAAAUUUUUCGGCCUAACUGAAAACGUGCGAUGAAAACUGACAAACUUGAGGGUGAAAGAGAGAAGUGGAAUUCUCGGAGUAGCGGUAAAAUGCGUAGAUCUCGAGAGGAACACCGAUGGCGAAAGCAGCUUCUUGGUUCACUCCUGACGUUGAGACACGAAAGCGUGGGGAGCAAACAGG
rnacentral:misc_RNA from 1 species